UUUUACGUCCGGACUUGUAGCUAGGUAGCUGGAACAAUGGCAGUGUCUCCGAUUGUCAUAUCGAAGCUAUGGUGUGGAGAUAACAAGAUGCAAAAGAAAAUGCCAAAGCCUCAGGAAAAGUAUUUACCAGAAAAAUGCUUAUUUAAAAACUGAUCAUCCAGUGAGGUCGCUGUCUAGCCAUUGAACGAAAAGAGGCCAGUUUCCGGGAUGUUGCUAACCGAGGAAUUAACUGAAGAGUCCAGGAGGUUUCAUGUGAAAAGCUGGUGGUGUAAAGCUCAAGAAAAAAAAGCUUUUAGAGCAACAUCAAAUUUUUUUUUUGGCUAGGUGUUACAAACCCUGUUAUUUUAUGUGGUCAUGUCAUACUACCUGAAGCCACAAGCUAUCAUCAAAUAGAUUUGGGGUUUUUCCCCCGUAUGCAUGAUUUUUCGUGAUCUGGAUUUUAAAUGUGCAUUGUGAUUGUAGACUUGAUUAUUAUAGGUGUAAUAUAUACCUGUAUGAGAGGAUUCAAUAAAUCUGAUUUUUUCCUCUAA